GAUGAACGCUGGCGGCGUGCCUAAUACAUGCAAGUCGAGCGAACGGACGAGAAGCUUGCUCCUCUGAUGUUAGCGGCGGACGGGUGAGUAACACGUGGAUAACCUACCUAUAAGACUGGGAUAACUUCGGGAAACCGGAGCUAAUACCGGAUGAUAUUUUGAACCGCAUGGUUCAAAAGUGAAAGAUGGUCUUGCUGUCACUUAUAGAUGGAUCCGCGCUGCAUUAGCUAGUUGGUAAGGUAACGGCUUACCAAGGCAACGAUGCAUAGCCGACCUGAGAGGGUGUUCGGCCACACUGGAACUGAGACACGGUCCAGACUCCUACGGGAGGCAGCAGUAGGGAAUCUUCCGCAAUGGGCGAAAGCCUGGCGGAGCAACGCCGCGUGAGUGAUGAAGGUCUUCGGAUCGUAAAACUCUGUUAUUAGGGAAGAACAUAUGUGUAAGUAACUGUGCACAUCUUGACGGUACCUAAUCAGAAAGCCACGGCUAACUACGUG
rnacentral:rRNA from 1 species